CGGUUGGUAACACGUCUAACCAUAAUUUGGAAAAGGCCGCCUACUUUAGAGAGCGGUACAAAAACUUAACUCCCGCCGAGAGGGAGUUUAGGCGUGAACGCCUUAGGUUGUACAAUAGUACACCAAAGCGGAAAGGGUCAAAGAUAGAGUACAUACGAAAACGUAGAGCACUGUUGGCUGACACAUUGAGUCAUGAGUCCAUCGCCAUGGAGUCCCCAACAUAUACCCCUGAGGUUGUACACCCUACAACAGAUGCAAUUGAACCUGAUGGAUCCGCAGUUACCCCCUGCGACUGGGUUAUCCCUGAAAUCGCCAGUAACCCGUUCCUGCCAGCUUCAACACAGACUGAGGAUGCCAAUUCACUGCAUAUGUCUAUUGGACCACUAAGACGUAAACAACAUGUGCCACAUGGUGAAAGACAAUCUAUCUUAGCCCGUCGAAACCGGCAAUUUGAAGCAUCCAUUUCAAGGAACAUGGCUACUGCGACUGAUG
rnacentral:misc_RNA from 1 species